rnacentral:rRNA from 1 species
UACGUAGGGGGCAAGCGUUGUCCGGAAUCAUUGGGCGUAAAGCGCGCGUAGGCGGCUCGAUCAGUCUGCUGUGAAAGUCAAAGGCUCAACCUUUGAAAGCCGGUGGAUACUGUCGAGCUAGAGUCCGGAAGAGGCGAGUGGAAUUCCUGGUGUAGCGGUGGAAUGCGCAGAUAUCAGGAGGAACACCAACGGCGAAGGCAGCUCGCUGGGACGGUACUGACGCUAAGGCGCGAAAGCGUGGGGAGCAAACAGG